rnacentral:rRNA from 1 species
UACGGAGGGUGCGAGCGUUGUCCGGAAUCACUGGGCGUAAAGGGCGCGUAGGCGGCCUGAUAAGUCAAAGGUGAAAUCCCUCGGCUCAACUGAGGAAUUGCCUUUGAAACUGUCAGGCUUGAGGCCGGGAGGGGGUGGCGGAAUUCCCAGUGUAGCGGUGAAAUGCGUAGAUAUUGGGAGGAACACCAGUGGCGAAGGCGGCCAUCUGGACCGGCACUGACGCUGAGGCGCGAAAGCGUGGGGAGCAAACAGG